UACGUAGGUGGCAAGCGUUGUCCGGAUUUAUUGGGUUUAAAGGGUGCGUAGGCGGCUUUGUAAGUCAGUGGUGAAAUAUGGCAGCUCAACUGUCAGGGUGCCAUUGAUACUGCGGAGCUUGAGUACAGAUGAGGUAGGCGGAAUUGACGGUGUAGCGGUGAAAUGCUUAGAUAUCGUCAAGAACACCGAUAGCGAAGGCAGCUUACUGGGCUGUAACUGACGCUGAGGCGCGAAAGCGUGGGGAGCAAACAGG
rnacentral:rRNA from 1 species